GCUGCUUCGGCAGCACAUAUACAAAUUGGAAUGAUACAGAGAGGAUUAGCAUGGUCCCUGUGCAAGGAAGACACAAAUUCAUGAAGGGUUCAAUUUUUUU
rnacentral:snRNA from 1 species